CUUGAGUUUUAUUUUCAACAUGGAGUACUGCAUAUUAAACUUCCAGCAGCAAUGUUCACAUGUUUUGCUGCUUAGGCCUAGUACAGUAUUUUCUUUGCCUUGCUCUUUCACCUUAACUUUCCCUUCUAUCUUAUUUUUUGCACUUAUUGUUCUUCAUUUCAUUCUUACCUGCACAGAUAGUCAUCUGACCUAGUUUUAUGAUAUGGAUUAAAGUAAAUCCCAUAAUGGUAAUGGCUGUUAUAAUUGUUAUGUGACAUACGGUCCAAGAGGUCUAUCCCAAAGUGAAAGUUAUAUAUACAUCACAUUUGCAGGUUUCAAUUGAGGACGGACAGAUAUUGAAAUGCCCAACUUAUUGUACCUAGGUGCCAAAGGAGAUGAUGGAAAUGUCAAAAGGUCCUGCAAGGGAACCCAUGCUGAAAAUCAUGUUUCCAGCACAGAGAAAAUUAAAAUAUACUUAGGGUGCUUUCAGGGAAUUUUUUUUAGUCACCAGGUAGCUUUAGGUUAUUUGAUCAGCUACACCUGGAUCUUGUCUUGAUGCAAAAACUUAAACAAAUAUUUUUGUCAGCAGAGAAGAUGCCUCCAGUAACAAAAGGCACAUUUGAUGCGUGCUUUUUUUCCUCUAUGUUUCAAUUUUCUGUGUCAAAUCCAUACAGUCAGAAGAUCUGGAUAUCCUUUCUUCAGAUUUUCAGCUAACUGCAGUGUGUAAAAUAAUGCCAUGCCAAGAUUAUCUGUACUGAAGAUAUGGUAUGAUGAAAGCUGGUUCUGUAAAAAGAUUUCUUAGGAAAGGCACUCUGCAAACUUUAACAGAUCUCUAGAACAUCCUGUGUCAAACACAGCGUGCUGAGAUUUUGUCCCCCCCUCCCAAAAUAUGGCUACUGUUAACUGAGUGGUAAUUUCAGUGUCUUCUCUUUCAUCAGCUGAAUGUCAAGAUGAUGUCUAUAUUUCAUGUACAUCAAGUGAAUGGGGAAAUUUUCUCUGUGGAUAUCUUUUCUGCUUUUUAAUAAAUUCUUUCUUUUGCCUGAAGAGAAUUAGAAG
rnacentral:lncRNA from 1 species